ACCGCAGACCGCCUUAUCGUCGUCCUGAUUUAUUGGGAGGGAGGAAAGUCCGGACACCACAGAGAAGCAUAGCGGGUAACCCCCGUCGGUUCCGAUUUCGGGAUUAGGACAAGUGCAGCAGAAAGUAUGUACAGGUAAUGCUGUAGUGAAACCAGGUAAACUCUAUGCGGUGAAAUACCAAGUAUAUCAGCAUUUAAGGGCUUCUCGUCCGUUGUUGAAGGGUAGGUAGCUUGAGUUCUAAAGUAAUUUAGAAUCUAGAUAAAUGAUAAGGCUCUGAUUUAUCAGGGACAGAAUCCGGCUUAUAGGUCUGCAUUUUUU
rfam:Flavobacterium hercynium strain DSM 18292 43415_contig_73, whole genome shotgun sequence.